rnacentral:rRNA from 1 species
CAGUCGAACGGGUGUACGGGGAGGAAGGCUUCGGCCGGAAAACCUGUGCAUGAGUGGCGGACGGGUGAGUAACGCGUGGGCAACCUGGCCUGUACAGGGGGAUAACACUUAGAAAUAGGUGCUAAUACCGCAUAACGGGGGAAGCCGCAUGGCUUUUCCCUGAAAACUCCGGUGGUACAGGAUGGGCCCGCGUCUGAUUAGCCAGUUGGCAGGGUAACGGCCUACCAAAGCGACGAUCAGUAGCCGGCCUGAGAGGGCGGACGGCCACACUGGGACUGAGACACGGCCCAGACUCCUACGGGAGGCAGCAGUGGGGGAUAUUGCACAAUGGGGGGAACCCUGAUGCAGCGACGCCGCGUGGGUGAAGAAGCGCCUCGGCGCGUAAAGCCCUGUCAGCAGGGAAGAAAAUGACGGUACCUGAAGAAGAAGCCCCGGCUAACUACGUGCCAGCAGCCGCGGUAAUACGUAGGGGGCAAGCGUUAUCCGGAUUUACUGGGUGUAAAGGGGGCGCAGACGGCGAUGCAAGCCAGGAGUGAAAGCCCGGGGCCCAACCCCGGGACUGCUCUUGGAACUGCGUGGCUAGAGUGCAGGAGGGGCAGGCGGAAUUCCUGGUGUAGCGGUGAAAUGCGUAGAUAUCAGGAGGAACACCGGUGGCGAAGGCGGCCUGCUGGACUGCAACUGACGUUGAGGCCCGAAAGCGUGGGGAGCAAACAGGAUUAGAUACCCU